rnacentral:rRNA from 1 species
GAAUGCCGGAAUGAGUAGCGAGAUGGAGGUGGGAAUCCUCCAGGCCGAAUAUCUAAGGUUUCCAGGGUAAAGCUGAUCUGCCCUGGGUAAGUCGGGGCCUAAGGCAAGGCUGAGAAGCGUAGCUGAUGGACAACAGGUUUAGAUUCCUGUACCACAUGGUAUCAGAACUGUGGGGACGCAGAGGGAUAAGAUGACCGGGGGACAGAUUCCCGGGCAAGCGCAGGAGGUGUCAGACAGGCAAAUCCGUCUGACAAGCCAAAGGCGUGACGCGGACCGAACUAAAGUAGGGAAGCAUCUGAUUCCAGCUGCCGAGAAAAGCCGCUAUUGUGUACCAUGUGCCCGUACCGUAAACCGACACAGGUGGAUGAGGAGAGAAUCCUAAGGCCGGCGGGAGAAGCAUUGUUAAGGAACUCGGCAAAAUGACCCCGUAACUUCGGGAUAAGGGGUGCCAGAGAGAUCUGGCCGCAGAGAAUAGGCUCAAGCAACUGUUUAGCAAAAACACAGGUCUAUGCGAAACCGUAAGGUGAUGUAUAUGGGCUGACGCCUGCCCGGUGCUGGAAGGUUAAGAGGAGAGGUUAGAGCAAUCGAAGCUUUGAAUUGAAGCCCCAGUAAACGGCGGCCGUAACAAUAACGGUCCUAAGGUGGCGAAAUUCCUUGUCGGGUAAGUUCCGACCCGCACGAAAGGCGUAAUGAUUUGAGCGCUGUCUCGACAAUGCACCCGGUGAAAUUGAAAUACCAGUGAAGAUGCUGGUUACCUGCGCCAGGACGGAAAGACCCCAUGGAGCUUUACUCCAGCUUGAUACUGGGAUUCGGUAAUGCAUGCACAGGAUAGGUGGGAGGCUACGAGUACGGAACUCCGGUUUCGUAUGAGCCGCUGUUGGGAUACCACCCUUGCGUUACUGGGUUUCUAACCAUGGUCCAUGAUCUGGAUCGGGGACAAUGUCAGGUGGGGAGUUUGACUGGGGCGGUCGCCUCCGAAAGGGUAUCGGAGGCGCUCAAAGGUUCCCUCAGAAUGGUUGGAAACCAUUCGAAGAGUGCAAAGGCAGAAGGGAGCUUGACUGCGAGACCGACGGGUCGAGCAGGUAGGAAACUAGGACUUAGUGAUCCGGUGGUAUGAAAGUGGGAUUGCCAUCGCUCAACGGAUAAAAGCUACCCUGGGAUAACAGGCUUAUCACUCCCAAGAGUUCACAUCGACGGAGUGGUUUGGCACCUCGAUGUCGGCUCAUCGCAUCCUGGGGCUGAAGUAGGUCCCAAGGGUUGGGCUGUUCGCCCAUUAAAGCGGUACACGAGCUGGGUUCAGAACGUCGUGAGACAGUUCGGUCCCUAUCCGGCGCAGGCGGAGGAUAUUUGAGAGGAGCUGUCCUUAGUACGAGAGGACCGGGAUGGACGGACCGCUGGUGUACCGGUUGAGCUGCUAAGCUCAUGGCCGGGUAGCCAAGUCUGGCAGGGAUAAACGCUGAAGGCAUCUAAGCGUGAAGCCCCCCUCAAGAUGAGGUAUCCCAUUCGAAAGAAGUAAGACCCCUUGAAGACGACGAGGUAGAUAGGGCAGAGGUGGAAGUGCAGUAAUGUACGGAGCUGACUGUUACUAAUCGGUCGAGGGCUUAUC